CAAUGAAUUUGCUGAGAUAGUAGGAAAACUUCUCAAACCCAUAAAGCUAGAACUCAGUCAUUACUCAUUAGCACCUUAGGUCAUUGUUCUAGAACUCAUAACCCAUACAGUUAAAAUUUUGCCUCCGUCUCUGAGUGCAAAGUUGAUUUGGACUUCCCAAAAGUAGAAGUCAGAUUUCAGCAUCUGACAGUUGAAGCUUAUGUGCAUCUUGGCAGUCGAGCACUGCCAACCAUUUCAAAUUUUAUUUUCAACAUGACCGAGGUAUUCCCCAUGCCAUCAAUUAUUACGUUAGAGUAGCACUUGAUCAUUUUAGCAUAUGACAUCUCCCCUCUCUCUGUAUUAUGUGCAAACAUGUCAGGCUUUCUUAAGGCAGCUCAAAAUAUACUCUAGCAAGAGAAUAAAGCUGACAAUUUUAGAUGACAUUAGUGGGAUAAUUCGACCUUUCAAGUAUGAAUCAAUCAUUAACUCCCAAGAAAUCAAAAGCUGGUGAGAGUAUGUUUAUUUAAAACAUUAUGAUGUUCAUUUCUAGAUUAACACUCUUAUUGGGUCCUCCAAGCUCUGGCAAAAGCACAUUGUUAUUAGCACUUGCUGGAUGCCUCAAAUCUGACUUGCAGGUACGGUCAUAUCUGAAUUUUCAUGAUUUGGAGGUAGAGAAAGAACAUGUUCUGCUAGAUAGUAAUCUUUUUUUUUCCUCAAUAUUCUACUAAAAUGUUGAUCAAUUUGAAGACGUCAGGGAAUAUUACUUACAAUGGACAUGGUCUGAAAGAGUUUUUCCUCAAAAGACAUCCCCUUAUGUCAGUCAACAAGAUUGGCAUAUAACAGAGAUGACUGUAAGGGAAACUAUGGACUUCUCAGCAUAUUGUCAGGGUGUUGGAUCAAAAUAUGAUAUGCUAUUGGAACUUUCAAGAAGAGAAAAGAUGGCAGGAAUAAAACCUGAUGAAGAUCUUGACCUAUUCAUAAAGGCAUAAGCUUUGGAGGGGAACGAGACUGCACUUGUUGUUGAGUACAUUCUAAAGGUUAGAGUCUAUGACUCAUUCAUAUAUAGUUGUAGAAAGAGAAGGUGGCAGUCCUGCAAGAUUAGGAGGGUAACAUGGCAGUCUUAUUUACUGCGCCCUUCUUAUUGAUAUCCAUAAGAAGAACACUUUCUUUCACGCAUUUGGUACAAAUACAAUCCACUAAUGUCUCUCAACUCGCGAUCGGAAUCUGGUAUUAGAAAAGCAUUGGAGCACUUUUGGAUUUUCACUUCUCUUCAUAUUCCGCUGAUGGUUACUAUCACUAUCCAGUCUCACAUUAGCUAGUUUUCUUUUAAAGCUGUAUAUUCGUGUUGUAAAAGAGCUAUGUAGGAAAUUAUUCUUUCUCUUGUAGAAGAAUACCGUUACGUUUUGAGUAUAACAACAUUUUAGUAUUUUAAUUUAUCUUGAAUGAUAUUGUUGAACCUUUAAUUAUGUAUU